CACCAGGGUGAUUAAGGAGCUGAACUACUGCCAGAUCGUGCGACAACAAAGUGGUGUGACUCAAUCCUCUGCUCACCCCCUCCGUGUUUUCAGCAGUGCUAAACAGGGAACUGAGCUAAUAACCCCACUCAGAUGCAAGGAAACAGAGCUCGUGGUUACCCACUUUCACUACAAAUCUGUCAACAUGCAUGAACAGGGAGAACUGAACUACCCCACUCCUGCAACCAGGUGGUGAAAAGGUUAAGACAACCAUGACCAGUAGUGGGAAGGCAGAAAUUUGUGAGAAAGUGGAUAUGAUUUUGGAUCGGCUCCUUUGACCAAAUACUACCGGUCUGGAGAAGUCCUGUAAUCAAAAGGUCAAGAAUCAUCCCUUCAUUUGGUGAACUGAUACUCCUCCAUUCCACACAUUUCUGGUGUGUCUGACAAUCAAGAACUACUGGAUUCCAUCUCAUUGACCUAGAAUUUUCUAUAUGAACAAGGAAAAGGUGUCUCUUUCCUCUGAUUUAACUUACUAGAAUGAUAUAAACCUGGAGUUGUCUGCAGUCAUGUUUCCCUUCCAACUACUACAAUGAGCAGGAGUCCAGAGCUGGGGUGAGAAGGUGGGAAGGCUGCUGUGCCCUUAGCUACAUGGAACCCAAGUUCAACUCCCCAGACUACAACUUCGCUCAUGCCCUUCUGAUCCUGGAAGCCUCUCACCCAUUUCAUGCGCAGUUACAAAGACAUAUAUCCAGGAGGGGGC